rnacentral:rRNA from 1 species
AUUGAACGCUGGCGGAAUGCUUUACACAUGCAAGUCGAACGGCAGCACGGGGCAACCUGGUGGCGAGUGGCGAACGGGUGAGUAAUACAUCGGAACGUGCCCAAUCGUGGGGGAUAACGUAGCGAAAGUUACGCUAAUACCGCAUACGAUCUACGGAUGAAAGCGGGGGAUCGCAAGACCUCGCGCGAAUGGAGCGGCCGAUGUCAGAUUAGGUAGUUGGUGGGGUAAAGGCUCACCAAGCCAACGAUCUGUAGCUGGUCUGAGAGGACGACCAGCCACACUGGAACUGAGACACGGUCCAGACUCCUACGGGAGGCAGCAGUGGGGAAUUUUGGACAAUGGGGGCAACCCUGAUCCAGCCAUUCCGCGUGAGUGAAGAAGGCCUUCGGGUUGUAAAGCUCUUUUGUCGGGGACGAAACGGUUUCACCUAAUACGUGAGACUACUGACGGUACCCGAAGAAUAAGCACCGGCUAACUACGUG